AGGACGAACGCUGGCGGCACGCUUAACACAUGCAAGUCGAACGGAGAUACUGAGAGCUUGCUUUGGUAUCUUAGUGGCGGACGGGUGAGUAACACGUGAGCAACCUGCCUUUGAGAGCGGAAUAGCUUCUGGAAACGGAUGGUAAUACCGCAUAACAUUACUUUACCGCAUGAUAGAGUAAUCAAAAGAUUUAUCGCUCAAAAGAUGGGCUCGCGGCUGAUUAGAUAGUUGGUGGGGUAACGGCCUACCAAGUCGACGAUCAGUAGCCGGACUGAGAGGUUGAACGGCCACAUUGGGACUGAGACACGGCCCAGACUCCUACGGGAGGCAGCAGUGGGGAAUAUUGCACAAUGGGCGGAAGCCUGAUGCAGCGAUGCCGCGUGGAGGAAGAAGGUUUUCGGAUUGUAAACUCCUUUUAUCAGGGACGAUAAUGACGGUACCUGAAGAAAAAGCUCCGGCUAACUACGUGCCAGCAGCGGC
rnacentral:rRNA from 1 species